AGAGUUUGAUCCUGGCUCAGGAUGAACGCUAGCGGCAGGCUUAAUACAUGCAAGUCGAGGGGCAGCACGGGUAGCAAUACCUGGUGGCGACCGGCGCACGGGUGCGUAACGCGUAUGUAAUCUACCAUUAACCGGGGAAUAGCCCAGAGAAAUCUGGAUUAAUGCCCCAUAGUAUUAUCGAAAGGCAUCUUUUGAUAAUUAAAGCUCAGGCGGUUUUUGAUGAACAUGCGUGUCAUUAGUUUGUUGGUGAGGUAACGGCUCACCAAGACUACGAUGACUAGGGGGUCUGAGAGGAUGAUCCCCCACACUGGUACUGAGACACGGACCAGACUCCUACGGGAGGCAGCAGUAAGGAAUAUUGGGCAAUGGAGGCAACUCUGACCCAGCCAUGCCGCGUGAAGGAUGAAGGUUCUACGCGUUGUAAACUUCUUUUGUACGGGAAGAAACCUCUCUACGUGUAGGGUAAUGACGGUAAGGUAUGAAUAAGCAUCGGCUAACUCCGUGCCAGCAGCCGCGGUAAUACGGAGGGUGCAAGCGUUAUCCGGAUUCAUUGGGUUUAAAGGGUCCGUAGGCGGAUUAAUAAGUCAGAGGUGAAAUCCCACAGCUUAACUGUGGAACUGCCAUUGAUACUGUUGUUCUUGAGUACAAAUGAAGUGGGUGGAAUGUGUGGUGUAGCGGUGAAAUGCUUAGAUAUCACACAGAAUAUCAAUUGCGAAGGCAGCUUACUAAGCCAUUACUGACGCUGAGGCACGAAAGCGUGGGGAUCGAACAGGAUUAGAUACCCUGGUAGUCCACGCCGUAAACGAUGAUCACUCGCUGUUUGCGAUAUACAGCAAGCGGCUGAGCGAAAGCAUUAAGUGAUCCACCUGGGGAGUACGAUCGCAAGGUUGAAACUCAAAGGAAUUGACGGGGGCCCGCACAAGCGGAGGAACAUGUGGUUUAAUUCGAUGAUACGCGAGGAACCUUACCUGGGCUUAAAUGUAGGCUGCAUUCGGCUGAAAGGCUGAUUCCCUUCGGGGCUGCUUACAAGGUGCUGCAUGGUUGUCGUCAGCUCGUGCCGUGAGGUGUCGGGUUAAGUCCCAUAACGAGCGCAACCCUUAUCGUUAGUUGCCAGCGGGUCAAGCCGGGGACUCUAGCGAGACUGCCGGUGAUAAACCGGAGGAAGGUGGGGAUGACGUCAAAUCAUCAUGCCCCUUAUGUUCUGGGCUACACACGUGCUACAAUGGCCGGUACAGACGGAAGCGAAGCCGCGAGGUGAAGCAAACCGAGAAAGCCGGUCUCAGUUCGGAUUGCAGGCUGCAACUCGCCUGCAUGAAGUCGGAAUCGCUAGUAAUCGCAGGUCAGCAUACUGCGGUGAAUACGUUCCCGGGCCUUGUACACACCGCCCGUCACACCACGAAAGUCUGCAACACCCGAAGCCGGUGAGGUAACCCGUAAGGGAGAGAGCCGUCGAAGGUGGGGUUGGUAAUUGGGGUGAAGUCGUAACAAGGUAACC
rnacentral:rRNA from 1 species